UUAGUCAUAGCUGAAGCUUGUGAAAGAGUAUUAACAAGGAAAAUGUUAGUAUGAUACAACAUGAAAGAAGGAAUGUACAGGAUUUGCAAAUAUUGCCCUUCUCAAACAGGCAAUUGUUAAAAAAUAAUCAUUUACAGUAAUCUUUCUGAUGCAGAUCUAUACAGUAGGAAAAGAUUUACUAAUGCCAAAGAAUACCAUAGCUCAAUGGACUCUCUCGUUACUAAUGGAAAAUAUUUAACUUGCAAACCUUAGUUUCAAAGGAAUCCGUAUCAGGGAUAGGAGCAAGAAUG
rnacentral:lncRNA from 1 species